UGAACCCGGCGGCGCUGAGCAAAACAAAUCCUUUCCAAAAAUCUCAAAGAUCUGAUCAAACAAAAAUCUCCUGAUCAAAAUAUCAAUACGGGUUGUUGUUAUGAAUGGAAUUUUGGGUUUGUAUGGGAACUUUUGCACAUACCCUGGAUAUUAAAGAGAUCAAACCAUGAAUGGCACAAUGAUUUUUCCUCUCAUGGCUUCAAUUUUGUGUGGAGGUUUGAUUUCCUAAUAUGUCUUCUAUACUUGAUCUCAGCAUUUUAGGGAAAUCUUAGCUGGUUUGUAGGCUGAUGGAGCAGUUGAAUAUGUUUUCUUUUCAAAGGAAUAGGCCGCACCGAAUUAGAGAUCAAACAAGAAAAUAAACGAAAUAGGUAGGAAAUUAGCAUUAACUGGAAGCCUGUUGAAAAAGGAAAAUCAAGAUCAUAUAUUGGCUGGUCCAGUAGUUGUUUGGUUAUGGGUUAUUCCGUAACACAACCCUAUUUAUAAGAGUUGAAAGCAGUGCGAUUAGAUGUUCAGGUUGCUCUCAAGUACAAAUUCAGUUAGAUGAAACUUUAAUUCAAGGAAGUUAUUGAAGCUUGAAAUGCAGAAAUAACGUGGGAAAGCUGCACCUAAGGAAGGAAGGAAACCUGCUGUUAUACAUAACGACUAGAGGUGGUUUGAUUACUGCAAAGACGUGGUACUAGAAGACCACACCUCCACAGAUAAAUUAAAGCCAUGUUGUGCAUUUUGAGUUGAUAUAAGUCAAUAUAACUUGUUUUGGGAAAACAAAAAGGACUAAAUGUAAGUGUACGACUAUAAUUACAAGCGAUAUAUUAAUAAAUUCUAGUAAUAAAAUAAGUAAUAAGUUGAUUAUGAUAAGUGAAGCAUCACAACUUAUGGAAAUGGAUGAUAUUAUAGUAAAUUAUGUCAGUUUGGAUUUUGAUU